UUUUUUUGUAUUUUUAGUAAAGACGGGGUUUCACCAUGUUGGCCAGGCUGGUCUUGAACUCCUGACCUCAAGUGAUCCACCUGCCUCGGCCUCUUAAAGUGCUGGGGUUACAGGCAUGAGCCACCGCACCUGGCCUUCUCCCUCUUUUUUUUUUUUUAAUUAUAUUUUUAAAGAUUUCCCUUUCCAGCCAUGCUCUCAUCUGAUUUCCUAG
rnacentral:lncRNA from 10 species